ACCUACAGCCCCAACCACCCAAACAUAAGUACUAAAAUGUUGGUGACCUAUCUGAUCUCAGAAGCUAAGCAGGGUCAGGCCUGGUUAGCACUUGGAUGGGAGACCACCUAGGAAGGCCAGGUGCUGUAGGCA
ensembl:rRNA 5S_rRNA 5S ribosomal RNA